rnacentral:rRNA from 1 species
CGUGCAUAACACAUUCAAGUCGAACGGAGCUGUUUGAAUUAAUCCUUCGGGAAGCGUUUAAACAACUUAGUGGCGGACGGGUGAGUAACGCGUGAGCAACCUGCCUCUGUAUGAGGGAUAACGUCGGGAAACUGGCGCUAAUACCUCAUGAAACGUAGAGAACGCAUGUUUUUUACGUCAAAGAUUUAUUGUACAGAGAUGGGCUCGGGUCCGAUUAGAUAGUUGGUAAGGUAACGGGUUACCAAGUCUGCGAUCGGUAGCCGGACUGAGAGGUUGAACGGCCACAUUGGAACUGAGAUACGGUCCAGACUCCUACGGGAGGCAGCAGUGGGGAAUAUUGGGCAAUGGGCGAAAGCCUGACCCAGCGACGCCGCGUGAGGGAAGAAGGUCUUCGGAUUGUAAACCUUUGUUGACAGGGACGAAUAAAAUGACGGUACCUGUCGAGGAAGCCACGGCUAACUACGUGCCAGCAGCCGCCGUAAGAC